CUUGGGCUGGGCUGGGUUCUGGCACCGACCAGAAAUUUAAUUUUUAAAUAACUGACUCAUGGGACUGACUCAUUCAUUUAAAUAUAGAUAGAACCUUUGUCUAUUUUUCUAAAAAAAAAAAAAAAGAAAAGAAAAGUCCUUUGUACACACAGGAACCAGCUCAAGAAGGACACGGGCAGCAGCCACGGAUCAAGUCCUGCCGUGCGUGGCCACUCACCAGUCAAGGAACAACUGGGCCACCCGGUCCCUCUGAGUGUGAAGUAGGGUCACAGCAGUAAGAAGGGGCUACUCCAGGCCCAGCCAGCCAGGAAGGCUUCUGGAUCCGGGAGAGAAACUCGUCAGAUCUGCUCAGCUUGGCUCUAGCACCUACAACUUACCAUGGCAGUGGCAAACGGUAACCACCUUAGUACAGUGCUGGACAUCACAAUGAGACUCAGAAUGUCAUGUGAGGAAGGGGAUCUUCUCCAGGAGAGAGCUGGUGGAGAGAGUUCAGCUUGGCAAGGCCAGACACCCUGAGGCUGUUCUGCACCCUUCUGCGGACCUGGUUGCCAGGAGAUGAGCUUCACCAGGGUGGUGAGCAAGACUGGGUCUCACCGUGGCUGUGACACUGGAGACCUUCCGUGGCUCUGUGGCACUCACCUGCCUCCUGUACUCAGCCUGAUGCAUUCAGGCUACGGGAACUUACGACACUGCCUGGUACUCUGCACAGUACCGGUGCCAACCGGCAGAUGAGGAACAAAUCUGAACUGGGCCUGACAGACACUGACUUCCACCGCUGCAGGGGCCUAUUCCAUUACAGACCUUGAACAGCUACCUUCCCCCUGCUGCCUGGCUCCCCUAGUCCCCCAGUGUCACUGGGACCAUGGACUGCACUAGCCCCAAAACGUUACCUCUAAGUUUACUUCUGGAAACCCAACCCCAGGCCCCUGUAAUUUCUUCUUCUUUUCUUUCUUUCUUUCUUUCUUUCUUUUUCUUUUCUCUCUCUCUCUCUCUCUCUCUCUCUCUCUCUCUCUCUUUCUUUCUUUCUCUUCUGAGACAGGAUCUUGCUGUACUCCAGGCUGGCUUCAACCUUGAAGAAAUCCUUCUGCCUCAGCCUCCUGAGUGCUAAUUACAGAUGUGCACCACUGUGCCGGUCACCCCUGUAAUCAUUAACAGUUGAGUUGUGAGAAAAGAUCAAAGCAUACAUGUUUCCA